UAAAGAAUUUCGGUAUGGGAUGGGGAUGCGUUCCAUUAGUUAGUUGGCGGGGUAACGGCCCACCAAGACAACGAUGGAUAGGGGUUCUGAGAGGAAGGUCCCCCACAUUGGAACUGAGACACGGUCCAAACUCCUACGGGAGGCAGCAGUGAGGAAUAUUGGUCAAUGGACGAGAGUCUGAACCAGCCAAGUAGCGUGAAGGAUGACUGCCCUAUGGGUUGUAAACUUCUUUUAUAUGGGAAUAAAAUGUUCCACGUGUGGGAUUUUGUAUGUACCAUAUGAAUAAGGAUCGGCUAACUCCGUGCCAGCAGCCGCGGUAAUACGGAGGAUUCGAGCGUUAUCCGGAUUUAUUGGGUUUAAAGGGAGCGUAGGUGGAUUGUUAAGUCAGUUGUGAAAGUUUGCGGCUCAACCGUAAAAUUGCAGUUGAAACUGGCAGUCUUGAGUACAGUAGAGGUGGGCGGAAUUCGUGGUGUAGCGGUGAAAUGCUUAGAUAUCACGAAGAACUCCGAUUGCGAAGGCAGCUCACUGGACUGCAACUGACACUGAGGCUCGAAAGUGUGGGUAUCAAACAGGAUUAGAUACCCUGGUAGUCCACACAGUAAACGAUGAAUACUCGCUGUUUGCGAUAUACAGUAA
rnacentral:rRNA from 1 species